UACGUAGGUGACCAGCGUUGUCCGGAUUUACUGGGCGUAAAGAGCGCGCAGGCGGUCGUUCAAGUCGAGUGUGAAAGCCCCCGGCUCAACUGGGGAGGGUCACUCGAUACUGAUCGACUGGAAGGCAGGAGAGGGAGGCGGAAUUCCCGGUGUAGUGGUGAAAUUCGUAGAUAUUCGCAAGAACACCAGUGGCGAAGGCGGCUCACUGGCCCGGUACUGACGCUGAGGUGCGAAAGCGUGGGGAGCAAACAGG
rnacentral:rRNA from 1 species